GCUCUGUUGUUACCAUUAACGGUACAAGUAAUUAGUAGUCAAUAUGGUGAGUUAAGGGUACCGAUCAUACCAGAUAGGGAGAGUGGCCGAAUAAUGACUUUGGAAAAUAUGCCCUUCAGAGAUGAGAUGUUUCUGAUAAGCUUGCUCUUUCUUGCCAAUUUAUUGGGUUAUAUUAGUGUGAUUAAGGGAUCGGUUCCGGGCUUGGGAUUUUAUUUAAUCGUCCGUAUGGUCGAGUUGCUGAUAUCUUGGUGUUGGGCGGUGAGUGUAGAUGCCGGACAAAUCAAGUCUCAUUAUCUGCCACAAUUUUUAUUAGAAUUGUUUUGCUAUUCUGCUUUCUUUAUCAGUUUGGCGUCUACAUUCGUAGUAAUUCAGCUGUUGGCACUAGUGUUAAAAAACAAGA